rnacentral:rRNA from 1 species
AGUGAACGCUGGCGGCAGGCCUAAUACAUGCAAGUCGAACGGCAGCACAGCAGAGCUUGCUCUGUGGGUGGCGAGUGGCGGACGGGUGAGGAAUACAUGGGAAUCUGCCCAGUCGUGGGGGAUAACGUAUGGAAACGUACGCUAAUACCGCAUGCGCCCUACGGGGGAAAGCCGGGGACCGCAAGGCCUGGCGCGAUUGGAUGAGCCCAUGUUCGAUUAGCUAGUUGGCGGGGUAAAGGCCCACCAAGGCGACGAUCGAUAGCUGGUCUGAGAGGAUGAUCAGCCACACUGGAACUGAGACACGGUCCAGACUCCUACGGGAGGCAGCAGUAGGGAAUAUUGGACAAUGGGGGCAACCCUGAUCCAGCCAUGCCGCGUGAGUGAAGAAGGCCCUCGGGUUGUAAAGCUCUUUUGUCCGGAAAGAAAGCAAUCGGUUAAUACCCGGUUGUUCUGACGGUACCGGAAGAAUAAGCACCGGCUAACUUCGUGCC